CAAGAGGAAAACACGGUUGAAUUAUAAAAUAAAAAAGAAACCUCUGCGUAUUGUAUGUGUCCCUCCUGUAGUUGUAUGUGGCUGAACAAAGCCACACACUUCACUUAUUAUGCGCCUUUGCUCAUCCAUGACACACGGACUUUAUUGCCUUAACAUUAGAUCAGGUUUUAAAACACACGAAUCUGCUGCACUGAUUCGAAAACUAGAGAAACUACUUCGGGAAAUUCUGUCGAGAAAUCGAGUUAUCUCUCAUCAAAGUUCGGGAAAUUUAAAUCCCCAGGACAUUUAAAUGAACUAUCUCAUCUUUCCAAAGGACAAUUUUGCUUUAUUUCGGCUUUUUAAACGCGGGAAUCGCGCUGAAACGAAUACAGGAAGUGAAGUUGGUGGUCAGAGUGACAGCAGUGACAGAGACAAAACAGGAAAAGAAAUAGCUGAAUUCCACCCUACUGUAAACCCAGUCUGGACAGAAGCCACAUGAAAAACACAAAGCAAACACAAACACAAAGCAGCUGAACUAAGAAUUGGAUAAUAUUCACUCUUCUUUCUGUAAUAGAAAAUAAAAAAUAACUUCACUCACCUGCAGCGACGUGAAACAUGACGUACAAAA